GACGAACGCUGGCGGCGUGCCUAAUACAUGCAAGUAGAACGCACAGUUUAUACUUUCUCUUGAUACACCAUAGACAGUGAGUUGCGAACGGGUGAGUACCGCGUAUGUAACCUGCCUGGUAGCGGGGGAUAACUAUUGGAAACGGUAGAUAAUACCGCAUAAUAUUAAUUAUUGCAUGAAAAUUAAUUGAAAUGAGCAAUUGCACCACUACCAGAUGGACCUGCGGUGUAUUAGCUAGUAGGUGAGGUAACGGCUCACCUAGGCGACGAUACAUAGCCGACCUGGGAGGGUGAUCGGGCCCACUGAGACUGGGACACGGCCCAGACCCCUACGGGAGGCAGCAGUAGGGGAUCUUAGGAAAGGGCAGAAAGUGUGACCGUGAAACGCCGCGUGAGCGAAGAAGGUUUUCGGAUCGCAAAGCUCAGUUGUAAGUGAAGAACGGGUGUGAGAGUGGAAAGGUCACACUGUGACGGUACCUUAACAGAAAGGGACGGCUAACUACGUG
rnacentral:rRNA from 1 species